rnacentral:lncRNA from 1 species
UUGAUUGUAAAAAAGUUGACAUUUACGACAAAUUGAAGGUGAAAUGACGAAAAUACCCUUAUUUCAUAUUAAACAUUUCAAUUUAAGAACCUGCGAGAUGUCUACCAGAUGUUUGCGAGAUAAAAUAAUAAUAAUAAUAAAUUGCUAACAUCCUUUGAAACAUCUCUAAAACAACCUUAAAUCAACCAUAAAUCAACUUGA